rnacentral:rRNA from 1 species
UACAGAGGGUGCGAGCGUUGUUCGGAAUUACUGGGCGUAAAGCGCGCGCAGGCGGCUUUUUAAGUCCGUUGGUGAAAUGCCGGGGCUCAACCCCGUGCCCGCCAGGGAUACUGGAGAGCUGGAGACGAGUAGAGGCAAGCGGAAUUCCGGGUGUAGCGGUGAAAUGCGCAGAUAUCAGGAAGAACACCCGUGGCGAAGGCGGCUCUCUGGGACGGUACUGACGCUGAGACGCGAAAGCGUGGGGAGCGAACAGG